UCAAACAGACCUGCAGCUUUCAUCUCUCAGCCUCACAUGAAGGCCAGAAGACAAACGAUCCGUUUAAUGCCGGUCUAAUCGUGCUAAACCUCUGAUCCCGCCAAACAAGCCUCCACAUGGCUGCUGUGUGUGCGCCACAUGUUCCAGGAGGAUUUAGCGCUGAGGCUCACCCUUUGUUACAACACAAACAACUUCAACCAGCCGGAUGUUUGUGUCGAGUAACCAUUGAAGGGCAUCCGUCUGGUCUGCAGCAGCUGGUGUAAAUAUGUACGAAGGACACAAGCAGACAACAUUAAAGAGUAGAACGCCGUUUUGACAUCAGGAGCAGCAUCCCAUCUUAGCUCUGAAAAGAAGCGUCCAAAAAUAAAGAGGAUUGCAGAAAGCUCCGCGUGAAAAUAGAGAAGCUGCAGCCUCACAGACGCAGAAACCAUGGCCAUCUGCACGCUGCAGCCAUGGAGACGAGACCGAGCAGGAAUCUUAAGCCGUGGGUUUCAGAAGGCAGCGCUCUGAGCCUCCUCUAUGGACUCAUCUCCAGCUCAUCGUAGCCAUGAGCAACACGAGAUGCUGAUGAGCUGGAGGAGGAGAACGAAACGGCAGAACUUAAAGACUCACUCCAAUGAAAAUAACAUGUUCUUUUUUUUACAUUUUAACAUGUUCUGGUUGCAUUUUAAUCAAGAUGGAGCACAUAUAUAAAGAAAAUUAAGUAUUUAUUUCUGAGUAUUUCCUUAUUCAGAUUGUAGGUCCGGAGCAGACGUAAAAGUGCCGUUUUAAAAAGAUCAUAUCAGUGAUGCCGAAAAGGGGUUUGAUGGGCUGUAAGCUAGCAGGACAGUGUGUAAACCUGUGACUGUAUAUAGAGAACUGGACCCCUCCUCCUUGGCAUUCCACACAGGAAGUACCUGCUGGCUCCAAAAAGCCAAAAUCCCAUAGGGAAGAAGUUGUUACGGAGUCAUUCUAUUGGUCAG